AGAAAGACAGAAUGAAGCAGAAUGAAUGGCUUACACUUUGUUGUAGUGGGCUGAAAGAGACUGAACUGUUGGUGGUUACCAGCGCUUUGUAACAGUCUGAGAUAAAGCUGUAACAUUAGUUUUCCAACGUCUUCAGGACAGAGGAGUUUAUGACGAGCUACACAUUUUUAAUUGUAAACUGGUCGCUAAAUGGAGAAAGAUGGUGAGAUUGAGAGAUGGAGAGAUAAUGAGAGGUGGAGAGCUAUUGAGAGAUGGAGAGAUGGAGAGAGAUGGAGAGUGAUGGAGAGAUGGAGAGAGAUGGAGAGUUGGAGAGAUAUUGAGAGAUGGAGAGUGAUUACAUGAUGGAGCGUGAUGGAGAGAUGGAGAGAUAUUGAGAGAUAUGAGAGAUGGAGAGUGAUAGAGAGAUGGAGAGAUAUUGAGAGAUGGAGAGAUGGAGAAAGAUACGUGAUGGAGAGAGAUGGAGAGAGAUGUAGAGUUGGAGAGAUAUUGAGAGAUGGAGAAAGAUUACGUGAUGGAGAGAUGGAGAGAGAUGGAGAGAGAUGGAGAGAUGGAGAGAGAUGGAUGAAGGCAGUAAUUGUGUUUCUCUCAGUAAGAGUUUUUAAGGCUGACCUUUUCCCGAGCAGCUCCUGUCACCCCGCAGGUUCACCAGCGCUCUGUCCCACAGCCUCCGGACGUCUCUUUAGAUUUUAUCACGGGCCUAAUUUACUCUGGGGACAUUUCCUCACUGAUUUCUUCAACAUCUCGUCCACUGGGAACUUUCUGUUACAGCACAAAAGUUUGCACACUGAUAAAACCAACAAGGCAUUUAAUAUGACUUUUACACGGGAGAUGUUGCUUCAUUAUCGUUAUCAGCAAUCCACGGUCACGUGGAUUUAUAUUCCACUUCACUAAGACUCUAACCUCAUCCGUAAAUGUAAACAUAAACAAAAAAAGUAAACAUGUGGUAAUCAUUAGAAAACGGUUGCGGUGUAAGAGUAAUAACACCCUCCAGGACAUGCUGUUGUAGGGAAAAGAUCGACUCUGGGACGGUAAUUGAGGAAAUAAACAAACACAGCGCAUCAUAUACAAGACCACGUAAUGGCAAACGAUGCGCAUCAGCAGGAAAUAAUGUUAUUAUUGAACCAGAUUCAGCAUUAAUUUAACGAUCCUCACGGCGGUUAUAUCGUCAUGGCGAUAUAUCAUCGCAGCAGUACAUGUAGAUGAGCGAAACACACGAUUCUGCUUCUCUAGACAGGAAGUCGUCUGCGCUUUGGGUUCUGUAAGCUCUCGAAACUGUGAGACAUCCAGCACAACACUCAACAAAUGCACACGCUCCAGACAUUUCUGCUGUUACCAUAGCGAUGAGGUCG
ensembl:lncRNA